rnacentral:RNase_P_RNA from 1 species
CGAGCGGACCACGCAGUCGCGGGAGGUGACUCUCGAGGAAAGUCCGGACACCGAAGGGCAGGGCGGUGGGUAACUCCCACCCGGGGCAACCCGCGGGAAAGUGCCACAGAAAACACACCGCCGAUGGCGCGGCCUCACGUGAGUCGCGCACAGGCAAGGUUGAAAUGGUGCGGUAAGAGCGCACCGGCGUCGCGGCGACGCGGCGGCCAGGUAAACCCCGCCCGGUGCAAGGC